GAUGAACGCUGGCGGCGUGCCUAAUACAUGCAAGUCGAGCGAACAGAUAAGGAGCUUGCUCCUUUGACGUUAGCGGCGGACGGGUGAGUAACACGUGGGUAACCUACCUAUAAGACUGGGAUAACUUCGGGAAACCGGAGCUAAUACCGGAUAACAUUUGGAACCGCAUGGUUCUAAAGUGAAAGAUGGUUUUGCUAUCACUUAUAGAUGGACCCGCGCCGUAUUAGCUAGUUGGUAAGGUAACGGCUUACCAAGGCAACGAUACGUAGCCGACCUGAGAGGGUGAUCGGCCACACUGGAACUGAGACACGGUCCAGACUCCUACGGGAGGCAGCAGUAGGGAAUCUUCCGCAAUGGGCGAAAGCCUGACGGAGCAACGCCGCGUGAGUGAUGAAGGGUUUCGGCUCGUAAAACUCUGUUAUUAGGGAAGAACAAACGUGUAAGUAACUGUGCACGUCUUGACGGUACCUAAACAGAAAGCCACGGCUAACUACGUG
rnacentral:rRNA from 1 species